rnacentral:rRNA from 1 species
AUUGAACGCUGGCGGCAGGCCUAACACAUGCAAGUCGAGCGGAGCGGCGGACGGGUGAGUAAUGCCUAGGAAUCUGCCUGGUAGUGGGGGAUAACGUCCGGAAACGGGCGCUAAUACCGCAUACUAUCAGAUGAGCCUAGGUCGGAUUAGCUAGAUGGUGGGGUAAAGGCCUACCAAGGCGACGAUCCGUAACUGGUCUGAGAGGAUGAUCAGUCAAACUGGACUGGAGACCCGGUCCAGCCUCCUACGGGAGGAAGCAUUGGGGAAUAUUGGACAAGGGGCGAAAGCCUGAUCCAGCCAGGCCGCGUGUGUGAAGAAGGUCUUCGGUUUGUAAGGCACGUUAAGUUGGGAGGCGUUACCAACAGAAUAAGCACCGGCUAACUUCGUGCCAGCAGCCGCGGUAAUUC